GUGCAGCAGUCGCGAAACCUCCGCAAUGCGGGAAACCGCGACGGGGGACCCCGAGUGCCGUGGCAACGCCACGGCUUUUCCGGAGUGUAAAAAGCUCCGGGAAUAAGGGCUGGGCAAGGCCGGUGGCAGCCGCCGCGGUAAUACCGGCGGCCCGAGUGGUGGCCGCUAUUAUUGGGCCUAAAGCGUCCGUAGCCGGGCCCGUAAGUCCCUGGCGAAAUCCCACGGCUCAACCGUGGGGCUUGCUGGGGAUACUGCGGGUCUUGGGACCGGGAGAGGCGGGGGGUACCCCUGGGGUAGGGGUGAAAUCCUAGUAAUCCCAGGGGGACCGCCAGUGGCGAAGGCGCCCCGCUGGAACGGGUCCGACGGUGAGGGACGAAGGCCAGGGGAGCAAACC
rnacentral:rRNA from 1 species